rnacentral:misc_RNA from 1 species
CUCAAAUCGAUUGCACUCAAUAUGAAACACGCACACGCGCAAACAUUGCAAAUUUUAUGUUACAUAUGCACCACUCAUCAUGCAAGGGGAAUUGCUGCCCAAAGAAGCAAAAGAAGAACGAUGCAAAUAUUUAAGGAUUCAUGAUAGACCUAGCCAGACGGGAAGGCAGCUGACAAGAACGCCUCAUCCUCCAUGAAAAUUUGCAGAUUCUUGGACUUCAUCAAGUAUUGAACAGCUGCUUCAUCGAAAUUCAGC